CUGUUUGUGUGCUGACGUGAUGUGCUGUAAGUACCAUGGGAGAGAGGGCUCUGCAACAGCUGGAGGUGGAGCUGCCCCAUCUCUGUGUAAUGGAGAUGUGGCAAAAGCUUUCUGCCCCCAAAACCAGUGCUUUGCCACAAUCAAGCCUUCCAGAAGAUCUUGGAGCAUUAGCAGCCAGGGAAUGUUUUUUGAAGUCUCGUGUUCUGAGUUCAUUAUACCUCUCCAGUAACUGUGUGGGACGCCAGCUGCAACACAUCCACUGCCACUGCCGGUUUGAGAAGUCUACAUUAUCAGCUGGCUCUGGUGGGACUUAAGGGGUUCACCAGGUAGCUGCCAUGAAUUCAAACCCCUCUGUGCCCUGCUGCCCUGCCUAUGGUCAAAGCGUGACUGCCUCAAAAGGUGGCGUGGGCAAGGAUCAGGUGGCUGUUACAGAAGGUUUUCCAGGGAAAAAGCCUGUGCUGGCCUUCCUGCUGCCAAAAUCUGCCUGGUCCUGUAUCACACAUCCCCCUAAGCAGUACAUGUGCUGUAACAAGCUGCCUGUCCCUUCCAGAGACCAUCCCAGACUCGCUCCUGGCAGCAGCUGCAAAAGAAGGGAUUUUAAAGGGCAAAUCUGAGGGCAGUGAGAAAAGGCCAUUGGUCACAUCCUCAGAUGCAUUUGAGGACUACAGUGGCAAUGGGCUGCUGCUUUGUGUAAUUGUUCUGGAGUUCCUAUGCCAUGGGUCAUUUUGGAGCACAGCCAGGGCAUGUUAAGCACAGCAUAAUGCUGACUUCUACACUGACCACACCAGUCACAAUUUAAGUAUAAGCUUUUCUGUAUGCUGCCCAUAGUGGUUUGAUGUACAUGCUAUUGCUUAAGUUGUGGCAGAAAUGCUGUUCUGGUUCACCCUCAGUUUUCUCCUCCUCCAAGGGAACUACACAACUUCCUGAAAGCUGGAGCCUGCAAAAGGCAAUGUGUAAUCCAGGACGGUUUUGCAACGCUGGCUCUAGCUGCGAAUUGCUAGUAAAAAUGUCAUUUGCCAUUCAUGGGCUAUUUCCUAUAUGUGCUGGAAUUUCAAGCCCAGUUUUCAUACUGAAGUUUAGUACUGUACUUUCUGGUUCAACUGCUUUCUAUCAGCAGAUACACUCCUAGAACAGAAACAAAAGUGCCGGGAACCAACAUCAUUCUCUGAGGUACAAUAAGGCUCACCUAAUUGCUUCCUGACUUGCUGAUCCAUCAUCCUGACCCCCUCUUUGAUGUUAUUUUUUUUUUUUUUUCCCUAGACCAUUAGUAACAAGUGAGAAAUGCUGUCUCAGGGUGUUAUAUAUGCGAUUAUUUCUCUAUCCCAAACACAGUGACCAUAUGUGAUGGGAUUAUCUCUUAUUUAAAAUAAAAAAGACU